GAUGAACGCUGGCGGCGUGCCUAAUACAUGCAAGUCGAGCGAAUGGAUUGAGAGCUUGCUCUUAUGAAUUUAGCGGCGGACGGGUGAGUAACACGUGGGUAACCUGCCCAUAAGACUGGGAUAACUCCGGGAAACCGGGGCUAAUACCGGAUAACAUUUUGAACCGCAUGGUUCGAAAUUGAAAGGCGGCUUCGGCUGUCACUUAUGGAUGGCCCCGCGUCGCAUUAGCUAGUUGGUGAGGUAACGGCUCACCAAGGCAACGAUGCGUAGCCGACCUGAGAGGGUGAUCGGCCACACUGGGACUGAGAAACGGCCAAGACUCCUACGGGAGGCAGCAGUAGGGAAUCUUCCGCAAUGGACGAAAGUCUGACGGAGCAACGCCGCGUGAGUGAUGAAGGCUUUCGGGUCGUAAAACUCUGUUGUUAGGGAAGAACAAGUGCUAGUUGAAUGAGCCGGCACCUUGACGGUACCUAACCAGAAAGCCACGGCUAACUACGUGCCAGCAGCCGCGGUAA
rnacentral:rRNA from 1 species